GACGAACGCUGGCGGCGUGCUUAACACAUGCAAGUCGAACGGAAAAGCCCUGCUUUUGUGGGGUGCUCGAGUGGCGAACGGGUGAGUAACACGUGAGUAACCUGCCCUUGACUUUGGGAUAACUUCAGGAAACUGGGGCUAAUAACGGAUAGGAGCUCCUGCUGCAUGGUGGGGGUUGGAAAGUUUCGGCGGUUGGGGAUGGACUCGCGGCGUAUCAGCUUGUUGGUGGGGUAGUGGCUUACCAAGGCUUUGACGGGUAGCCGGCCUGAGAGGGUGACCGGCCACAUUGGGACUGAGAUACGGCCCAGACUCCUACGGGAGGCAGCAGUGGGGAAUAUUGCACAAUGGGCGGAAGCCUGAUGCAGCAACGCCGCGUGCGGGAUGACGGCCUUCGGGUUGUAAACCGCUUUCGCCUGUGACGAAGCGUGAGUGACGGUAAUGGGUAAAGAAGCACCGGCUAACUACGUG
rnacentral:rRNA from 1 species